rnacentral:lncRNA from 1 species
UCUGUCUUCCAUCGUACUUCAUAGAGCGAACUGACUUUUCUCCUUCUUUUUCUUGGGUUCUUAAAGCUUAUUUUACUUUUUUCUCUAUUUUUUUUCUCACUUUCUACUCAAUUUUUCUUCUCCCAAAGCUUAUUCCCAGACCUCCUAUUUAUAGAUGAAUUUUUCAUAAUUUUUUGAUAGAAAAAGGAGUCCUAAAACCUUUAGAAAUCAUAUUAAUCCCCUUAGGAAUAUUUUUGGCUGUCGGAUGGAGCUUGGACAGCUCAGAUUUGAUCAAAAAUCAAUCAUUUUAAUCCUUAUCAAAGUC